GACGAACGCUGGCGGCGUGCUUAACACAUGCAAAUCGAACGGAAAGGCCUUUUCGGAGGUACUCGAGUGGCGAACGGGUGAGUAACACGUGGGUGAUCUGCCCUGCACUCUGGGAUAAGCCUGGGAAACUGGGUCUAAUACCGGAUAGGACCGCACUUUAGUGUGUGUGGUGGAAAGUUUUUUCGGUGUAGGAUGAGCCCGCGGCCUAUCAGCUUGUUGGUGGGGUAAUGGCCUACCAAGGCGGCGACGGGUAGCCGGACUGAGAGGUUGGUCGGCCACAUUGGGACUGAGAUACGGCCCAGACUCCUACGGGAGGCAGCAGUGGGGAAUAUUGCACAAUGGGCGCAAGCCUGGUGCAGCGACGCCGCGUGGGGGAUGACGGCCUUCGGGUUGUAAACUCCUUUCGCCAGGGACGAAGCGUUUUGUGACGGUACCUGGAGAAGAAGCACCGGCUAACUACGUG
rnacentral:rRNA from 1 species